rnacentral:lncRNA from 1 species
GUGGCUCACGCCUGUAAUCCCAGCACUUUGGGAGGCCGAGGCAGGAGGAUCACUUGAGCCCAAGAGUUCGAGACCAGCCUGGGCAACAUAGUGAGACCCCAUCUCUAAGUUUUUAAAUAAAAAUUUAAAAAUAUACAAAUAAAAUAAGCACCUUUGUGUGAGUCCAGGGAACCUCUGUGAAGCUGUGGCUUUGCUGUUACCCAUUCAGAAUGGGAGUCCUUCAGGGAUGUCUGGGGACCUGUCCUUAUCCAGACUGGAUUUCAUUUUUGUUUUUGAAGCCACCAUCCCAGAACAGUGAAGACAGUACAGAAAGCUACUAGAAGCAACCAGAUGCAAUCCUGUACUCUUUCUCAAGCAAGGAGGGACUGCUUAUCUGUUGGCAUCUUUAUGCACUGUGUGGAGUACUGAUGAAAAGUGACAGCAUUUCAUAGCUGUGUUUAGGGGAGGUGGGGAGCCGACUGCAGUGCUAUCCAGACAGCUCACCCUCUUUGCAGCUAUUAAGAGUCUCAUCAAGGCUGUCUAUGCGAUGUCGUCAUUCUCACAUUCCCAGAAGUAGAAUUUGAAAAGAUCAGUGAACAUUAACAAUUUCUUCUUCUCCCUGACAUAUGCACACAUACAGCCUGCUUUUGUUUACAGUUGUAAUUUUUAAAAUAAAAAAUCUUUGGUCCUGAAAUAUUAAACUUUCAUAGUCUUGCUCACUGGGGCAGAAUGAAGGAAACAAACUGAGAGGCUGGGUGAGGUUUGUGUUUUCAGCAGCAUCAUAUGAGGUGAGGAAUGUCUGCUUAGAUCUGGGGCUUGACUGGGUCUCCGCAUUCUACACUGCCACCACAGACAAGUUUGGAGGUGUUCCUGGGGCUCAGACACUUGAAAACGUGGGGACAUUCUCAAAUUUCUCAUCACUAUAAGUCCAUUGAAGGGUUUUUAAAAAAUCUUUCUUUCUCUCUUUUCCUCCCUCCUUCCUUCCCUUCUUCUUUUUACAUUUAGCUAAUUCCUCUGAAAAAAAAAAACAGUGAAUAAUUGGAAGUCAGUAGAACUGGGAUCAUGUUUGCCUUGAAGAUGGAACUUGGGGCUAUCCCCUGCAAAUAAAAGUGUCAUUUCCAAGAACGACGUCUCUGUUAUAGAUGGGUAACUUAUUUUCUAGUAGAGGGUGCUGCCUUUAUAAUAUAUAAUAACCCCAUAUUUUCUUACCACCCCCUGGCCAUGCAGAACUGCAUCAACCUCUCCACCAUCUCAGAAAAUAUCUGCAUAGGGUCUCAUCGGUUUUUUUCUAAGUGCUGUGCCUCAUAGAACACCAUGGGGUUGAUACAGACAAUACGUGACCCUCAGGACCUUACCAGAGGACAGUGCCUAGGAACAUAGUACAUGGAGCCAAGGAUGUUUAUAACCCACUGUGGUUCCACAAGAACUUUAGGUGACUUGAAAACCUUAUGAUCCAUUGACAUGAAAGCACUAACCCAUUCAUUUGUGUACAUGAUCAACACAUGUCAGUUCCUUGAGGAUGGGGACUCGCCUUGUUCACUGCUGUAUCCCCAGGGCUUAGAAUAGUACCUGGUCUAUAAUAGCAAGCUCCCAGUAAAUAUCUGCUGUUUAAUGAAGUAAUGGUAAUUUUGAAACACUUUGGAAAAUACCUUUCUUGUGCUUUAGUUUUUGCAUUUUGUAAACCUCUGUACAUUAAUAAAAAUUUAUGAUUAAUAAUGUCUUGUAGAACACAUUUGCCUCAGAAACUUUGAUUAUUU